rnacentral:rRNA from 1 species
UACGGGGGGAGCAAGCGUUGUUCGGAUUUACUGGGCGUAAAGGGCGCGUAGGCGGUCAGCACAAGUCAGUUGUGAAAUCUCCGGGCUUAACUCGGAAAGGUCAACUGAUACUGUGCGACUAGAGUGCAGAAGGGGCAACUGGAAUUCUCGGUGUAGCGGUGAAAUGCGCAGAUAUCGGGAGGAACACCGGUGGCGAAGGCGGUUCUCUGGGCCUGACCUGACGCUGAGGAGCGAAAGCGUGGGGGAGCGAACAGG